GGGCUUCGGCCUGGUUAUUCAUAACCCUUUGUUGUCCGACUCUGUUGCCUCCGGGGCGACCCUGCCUUCGGGCGGGGGCUCCGGGUGGACACUUCAAACUCUUGCGUAACUUUGCAGUCUGAGUAAACUUAAUUAAUAAAUUAAAACUUUUAACAACGGAUCUCUUGGUUCUGGCAUCGAUGAAGAACGCAGCGAAAUGCGAUAAGUAAUGUGAAUUGCAGAAUUCAGUGAAUCAUCGAAUCUUUGAACGCACAUUGCGCCCCCUGGUAUUCCGGGGGGCAUGCCUGUUCGAGCGUCAUUUCACCACUCAAGCCUCGCUUGGUAUUGGGCAACGCGGUCCGCCGCGUGCCUCAAAUCGUCCGGCUGGGUCUUCUGUCCCCUAAGCGUUGUGGAAACUAUUCGCUAAAGGGUGUUCGGGAGGCUACGCCGUAAAACAACCCCAUUUCUAAGGUUGACCUCGGAUCAGGUA
rnacentral:rRNA from 1 species